UCCGGCUUAACGCCGGCAGUCUCCCUAGAGUGCCCAACUGAAUGGUGGCAACUAAGGACGAGGGUUACGCUCGUUGCGGGACUUAACCCAACAUCUCACGACACGAGCUGACGACAGCCAUGCAGCACCUGUGUGGGAGCCAGCCGAACUGAAGGACACCGUCUCCGGUGCCCAAACUCCCCAUGUCAAGGGCUGGUAAGGUUCUUCGCGUUGCAUCGAAUUAAACCACAUGCUCCACCGCUUGUGCGGGCCCCCGUCAAUUCCUUUGAGUUUUGACCUUGCGGCCGUACUCCCCAGGCGGUCGGCUUAAUGCGUUAGCGCCGACACCGAACAGCUUGCUGCCCAGCGUCUAGCCGACAUCGUUUACAGCGUGGACUAC
rnacentral:misc_RNA from 1 species